rnacentral:tRNA from 1 species
UAGCUCAGUUGGUAGAGUGCUUGCCUCACAUGCAUAAGGCCUUGGGUUCAAUCCCCAG